AGUAACGGCGAGUGAAGCGGCAACAGCUCAAAUUUGAAAUCUGGUCCCCAGGGCCCGAGUUGUAAUUUGUAGAGGAUGCUUUUGGCAAGGUGCCUUCCGAGUUCCCUGGAACGGGACGCCAUAGAGGGUGAGAGCCCCGUCUGGUCGGACACCAAGCCUCUGUAAAGCUCCUUCGACGAGUCGAGUAGUUUGGGAAUGCUGCUCAAAAUGGGAGGUAUAUGUCUUCUAAAGCUAAAUAUAGGCCAGAGACCGAUAGCGCACAAGUAGAGUGAUCGAAAGAUGAAAAGCACUUUGAAAAGAGGGUUAAAAAGUACGUGAAAUUGUUGAAAGGGAAGCGCCUAUGACCAGACUUGAGCCCGGUGAAUCAUCCAGCGUUCUCGCUGGUGCACUUUGCCGGGCACAGGCCAGCAUCAGUUUGGCGCGGGGGAAAAAGGCUUUGGGAAUGUGGCUCCCUCGGGAGUGUUAUAGCCCAUUGCGUAAUACCCUGCACCGGACUGAGGUACGCGCAUUCGCAAGGAUGCUGGCGUAAUGGUCAUCAGCGACCCGUCUUGAAACACGGACCAAGGAGUCGUCUUCGUAUGCGAGUGUUCGGGUGUUAAACCCCUACGCGUAAUGAAAGUGAACGCAGGUGAGAGCUUCGGCGCAUCAUCGACCGAUCCUGAUGUUCU
rnacentral:rRNA from 1 species